rnacentral:rRNA from 1 species
UACAGAGGAGCCAAGCGUUGUCCGGAUUGACUGGGCGUAAAGCGCACGCAGGCGGCACCGUGCGUGGGGUGUGAAAUCUGGCCGCUUAACGGCCAGGCGCCAUCCCAUACGGCGGAGCUAGAGUGAUGCAGAGGUCGGUGGAAUUGCCGGUGUAGUGGUGAAAUGCGUAGAGAUCGGCAGGAACACCCAGGGGGAAACCAGCCGACUGGGCAUUGACUGACGCGAU